CAGGGCGAGGUGGGUUUCCAUGCUCGGCAAUUGCGCACGGUCCCUUACGUAACCGUCAGCUGGGGAUUCCCUGGAGGGGGUCACUUUAUUCAACCAUUACACAGACCCCGGCCGCCGCCGCUCCGCCGCGCCCGGGGCCGCCGCCGGCUGAGGCUGAGGCUGCGGCUCCGGCUGCAGGCAGCGCGGCGGCGGCUCCUCACAAAAUGGCGGCGCCCAUGGAAGCGGCAGCAGCCCCAUUUUGUGCCCGGCAGAGCCUGUCAACAAAACGCCGACUUGGCCAAGGCUGAGGAACAGAAGGCGGCGGCUUCGUUCGCGUUACGGCGCGGAGGGAGGAGAGCGGAGGAUUUCACCGCCCUCCCGCCGCCGAGAGGAGACUUUUCUACAAAUGCGUGCCUUAUGAAUAAACCGGCUAUUAGGCUGAUGCUUCAAGUAACACUAUCCAGCACCAAGAAGCAGAAGUACAAAACGUCUGGAAGAAAUGAAGUGCACUUUGUGGAAGAAGCAGAGCUGUACACAUCAUGUAGACGUAGCUGCACAUGGAACUGUAUCCUUUUAAAGUUAUGCUGA
rnacentral:lncRNA from 1 species